AUUGAACGCUGGCGGCAGGCCUAACACAUGCAAGUCGAGCGGAGCGGCGGACGGGCGAGUAAUGCCUGGGAAUCUGCCUGGACGUGGGGGAUAACGUCCGGAAACGGGCGCUAAUACCGAAUACUAUCUGAUGAGCCUAGGUCGGAUUAGCUAGUGCGUGGGGUAAAUGCCUACAAAGGCGACGAUCCAUAACUGGACUGAGAGGAUGAUCAGUCACCCUGGAACGGGGACAGGGUCCCGACUGCUACGGGAGGAAGCAGUGGGGAUUAUUGGACAUUUGGCGAAAGCUUAAUCCAGCCAAGCCGCGUAUGGGAAGAAGGUCGUGGAAUUGUAAAGCACGUGAAGUUGGGAGGCGUUACCAACAGAAUAAGCCCCGGCUAACUUCGUGCCAGCAGCCGCGGUAAUAC
rnacentral:rRNA from 1 species